AUAAUAAUAAUAAUAAUAAUAAUAAUAAUAAUAAUAAUAAUAACAACAAUAAUAAUAAUAAUAAUAAUAAUAAUAAUAAUAAUAAUAAUAAUAAUAAUAAUAAUAAUAAUAAUAAUAAUAAUAAUAAUAAUAAUAAUAAUAAUAAUGUUAAUAAUAGCAGUAAUACUAUUGAUACUUGCUAUGAUACAGUUGAGCAAAAUAUACAUAUGAUACAUCUGCUAUUAUUUCUAGUUUACAAAUAGUCACUUAAUUUCUACUAGUACCUAACUAUUUUACAGGUUAAUUUUGUUUAUACUAUUUUGUUACAUUAUACAGUACAUUACACCCUUACUACUACUACUACUACUACUACUACUACUACUAUUACUACUAACUCCUGUAUAAGGGAUUUGGACAGGGCAGGGAUGAAAGAGUGGAGAUGCUGGUUAACUCUUGCAUAAGGGAGUUGGACAGUACAGGGAUGAAAGAGUGGAGAUGCUGGUCAACUCUUGCAUAAGGGAGUUGGACAGCACAGGGAUGAAAGAGUGGAGAUGCUAGUUAACUCUUGCAUAAGGGAGUUGGACAGCACAGGGAUGAAAGAGUGAAGAUGCUGGUUAACUCUUGCAUGAGGGAGUUGGACAGCACAGGGAUGAAAGAGUGGAGAUGCUGGUUAACUCUUGCAUUAGGGAUUUGGACAGCACAGGGAUGAAAGAGUGGAGAUGCUGGUUAACUCUUGCAUUAGGGAUUUGGACAGCACAGGGAUGAAAGAGUGGAGAUGCUGGUUAACUCUUGCAAAAGGGAGUUGGACAGCACAGGGAUGAAAGAGUGAAGAUGCUGGUUAACUCUUGCAUAAGGGAGUUGGACAGCACAGGGAUGAAAGAGUGGAGAUGCUGGUUAACUCUUGCAUUAGGGAGUUGGACAGCACAGGGAUGAAAGAGUGAAGAUGCUGGUUAACUCUUGCAUAAGGGAGUUGGACAGCACAGGGAUGAAAGAGUGGAGAUGCUGGUUAACUCUUGCAUAAGGGAGUUGGACAGCACAGGGAUGAAAGAGUGGAGAUGCUGGUUAACUCUUGCAUAAGGGAGUUGGACAGCACAGGGAUGAAAGACCUACUACCACUACUACUACUACUACGACUACUACUACUACUUCUACUUCUACUAAACAUUUUUUUCACAUUUUUGACUAGUUCGCAAAAUGUUAUUCCUGCCGUUAACUAAUUUUUUUUCCUCUAUGCGAUCACUCCGAGGAUAUGAGACACCCCACACGGCUUUCCCUGGUCUUGGAGGGGGCUAGGAUAGGGGCUGAGGAGAAGGGGAGGGGCUGGAAAGGGGGCUAGUGGGGGUCAGGUCUAUAGGAAGGGGCUGGAUUUGGUUUGGUCUUGAUAUACUUGAGGUCAAAUUUCUGGUCAUCUCUAAGUCAGGUUGCUCUCCUUCUCUCUCUCUUGGAAGGGGGGUAGGAGAGGAGGUCUGGGAAGGGGCUGGAGAAGGGGCUAGUUAUGGUUAGGUCUAUAGGAAGGGGCUAGGUUAGGUCUAGUCUUAAGUUUUGUUGAUUAAGAUUAGGUAUGGUUAGGUUUGGUAUGGUUAGGUAUGGUAUGGUAAGGUAAGGUAAGGUAUGGUAGGUAUGGUAUGGUUAGGUAAGGUUAGGUAAGGUAAGGUUAGGUUAGGUAAGGUAAGGUAAGGUAAGGUUAGGUAAGGUAAGGUAAGGUAAGGUAAGGUAAGGUAAGGUAAGGUAAGGUAAGGUUAGGUAAGGUAAGGUAAGGUAAGGUUAGGUUAGGUUAGGUAAGGUAAGGUAAGGUAAGGUAAGGUUAGGUAAGGUAAGGUAAGGUUAGGUAAGGUAAGGUAAGGUAAGGUAAGGUAAGGUAAGGUAAGGUAAGGUAAGGUAAGGUAAGGUAAGGUAAGGUUUGGUAAGGUAAGGUAAGGCAAGGUAAGGCAAGGUAAGGUAAGGUAAGGUCUUAAUCAGGUUGUGUAAAGUCAGGGUUUUGGUCUAAAUCGGUCUGGAUAAUCUCUCUUUCAGAUCUAUCCUAAGUCUGUCUGUUUGGUAAG